rnacentral:rRNA from 1 species
UACAGAGGUCCCAAGCGUUGUUCGGAUUCACUGGGCGUAAAGGGUGCGUAGGCGGUCGGGUAAGUCUGAUGUGAAAUCUCACAGCUUAACUGUGAAACUGCAUUGGAUACUAUCCGGCUAGAGGAAUGGAGGGGAGACUGGAAUACUUGGUGUAGCAGUGAAAUGCGUAGAUAUCAAGUGGAACACCAGUGGCGAAGGCGAGUCUCUGGACAUUUCCUGACGCUGAGGCACGGAAGCCAGGGGAGCAAACGGG